rnacentral:rRNA from 1 species
CCUACGGGUGGCUGCAGUGAGGAAUAUUGGUCAAUGGUCGGGAGACUGAACCAGCCAAGCCGCGUGAGGGAUGAAGGUACAGGGUAUCGUAAACCUCUUUUGUCAGGGAACAUAGGCGGGGACGUGUCCCCGGAUGAGUGUACCUGAAGAAAAAGCAUCGGCUAACUCCGUGCCAGCAGCCGCGGUAAUACGGAGGAUGCGAGCGUUAUCCGGAUUUAUGGGGGUAAAGGGGAGCGCAGGGGGUUUAUUAAGUCAGCGGUCAAAGCCCGGGGCUCAACCCCGACCCGCCGUUGAAACUGGCAGUCUCGAGUUGGGGAGAAGUAUGCGGAAUGCGCGGUGUAGCGGUGAAAUGCAUAGAUAUCGCGCAGAACUCCGGUUGCGAAGGCAGCAUGCCGGCUCCACACUGACGCUGAGGCACGAAAGCGUGGGUAUCGAACAGGAUUAGAUACCCUUGUAGUC